CGGCCCUACGGGUUGUAAACUGCUUUUAUACGGGAAUAAACCUCGCUACGUGUAGCGAGCUGAAUGUACUGUAAGAAUAAGGAUCGGCUAACUCCGUGC
rnacentral:rRNA from 1 species